AACGGUCUAUACCUGCGGUACCUGCGGAGGGAUCAUUAUUGAAAUAAAAUUGGUUGGGUUGUUGCUGGCUUUAUUUUAAAAAGCAUGUGCACACUUGAUCUAAUUUUUUUUCUUCAACCCCCCUGUGCACAAUUUGUAGACCUGAAAAGCUUUCAAGUAAUUAUUUUACUUGGUUUUGAAAAUUGCUGUGUGUGGUAGGCCAGCUGUUUUUGGCGGGUUUAUCAGGUCUAUGCUUUUUUU
rnacentral:misc_RNA from 1 species